rnacentral:misc_RNA from 1 species
CAGAGAACAUCGCCCUCACGGGUGACUCUCCAACCCUAUGUUAUUAUACCUUUGUUGCUUUGGCGAGCCGCUUCGGCCACCGGCUUCGGCUGGUGUGCGCUCGCCAGAGGACCCCAAACUCUGAAUAUUAAUGUCGUCUGAGUACUAUAUAAUAGUUA